GUGCAGUAGGCGAGAAACCUCCGCAAUACACGAAAGUGUGACGGGCCAUCCCGAGUGCCGUCCGCUGAGGACGGCUUUUCCCCAGUGUACACAGCUGGGGGAAUAAGGAGAGGGCAAGCCUGGUGUCAGCCGCCGCGGUAAUACCAGCUCUCCGAGUGGUGGGGACGCUUAUUGGGCCUAAAGCAUCCGUAGCCGGCUGGGCAAGUCCUCCGUUAAAUCCAACGAUUCAAUCGUUGGGCUGCGGGGGAUACUGUCCAGCUUGGGGGCGGGAGAGGCCGACGGUAUUCCCCGGGGUAGGGGUGAAAUCCUAUAAUCCCGGGAGGACCACCAGUGGCGAAGGCUGUCGGCUAGAACGCGCCCGACGGUGAGGGAUGAAAGCUGGGGGGAGCGAACCGGAUUAGAUACCCCUGUAGU
rnacentral:rRNA from 1 species